CGCCGGAUGUUACUUUCCAAACAGCCCUGUAUUUUAAGGACACCUAAUGAAGAUGACUAAGAAAUACACACCUUUCCGGUUAUUAUCUGGCCUUGGAGACAGUCAACGAUGUGGGAACUGCCACGUUACGUAACGCUGCACAAGAUAUACAAUGGCGACUGUGAUGUAGGGAGAAUGCUCUCAUGAGAUACUAUCCCAGCCAUUCCCCGAAAUGAGAGAACAGGAAGGAAGGAAAGAAGUUGCUGGCCGUUAUUCUUAAACAUUGUUUCUUUUUUGCACUCGAGAUCUCGUCCACGGCUGAAAAAAUUACGCAGAAUUGGAAGUAGUUAUUAUGAUAAGCAUUACAAUAUGGAACAUUAUGAAAAACCAUUCGAAUGGACUUGAUAAUUCUUAUACGAAUAUAAUUUCCUAUCGAUCGGUCGGGUAAAUUACUGAUGGACCUCGCCAGCAUAGUCAUUCUUGGUCCCGAGUCCCGCGGCACUCAUGGCCAUAUGUUACUCUCUCAUGGCUCUUGGAGUCCUGUAACUCAUCUCUCUGUCUCCUAUGUUUCAAGGGGGACCGAAGAGAGAAGACCCAGUGAUAUGAAAUAUAUGGUGAUAUUAGUAUGAAUGAUAACAGAGGCUGCUAUGGUGAUUCAUAAGUAUUGUUCAUACUUUAUGGAUGCGAUUCGAAUCAGCAUUCCCAAUUGUGUUAUUACGAGUAUGUGAGCGAAGUUUAAUGUCUUCUGGCCUUAUUACUUACUUACAUAUCGUGAUCAUAAUCAUUUCCUUGUGGACGAGACUCUGUCACUAAAUGCUCUUUAAUCCAGAAAGCAGUUCAUAGAUGUCACAUGCAUGAAAUUUACUACACUUCACUUUGAUUAAUUUCAGUUUUAUUUUAAAGUUGACUGCUAUAAUUAUCUCUCGCGAAUCCACGUUUUUUUUUACCAUUUCAGUCAUUAUGUAUUUCCAUUCUUUUUCUUUUUUCUUCUUAUUCUUGCCGAAAUACGGAUUAAUUAAUUGUUGUGACGUGUGUUGCCGAUUAAAGUUUCUCGUGCAAGGGGUGGUGA